CCUUUCUCCCAGUUACUGCAGCCUAAGCCUCAUUGAGAGAGGACAUGACGGGCUCACUGGCUUAGGAGUCAGUCUGUCCAGCACCUGGAAGUGGGGGUGAGCCGUGCCAUGUUUGCUGCAGGACCCAGUGACACUUGGAGCAGAGCGCAACAAGCUGCUGGCCUGGGGCACUUUUUUAGCCCGCGGGUUAGGGUUGGCUACUCCUCCCUAGACGUUGAAGUUUAUGGUCACGGGCACAGGGGAGAGCUGCCUACCCUGAGGACAGGAGACGGACUGCAGUCUCAGAGAGAGGGCUGUGGUAACUUUUUAUUGUUUAAAGUCUGUGCCUGUCAGGUUGCAGGAGACAGCGACUUCUGUCUUUGGGGUGUGACCCGCCCUGUUGAGUCUGCUCUGCUAAGGUUUUGGAAGCUGUACCGACACCAAGGGGAAGAAGUGUGGUAUUCACAGGAAGCCGAUCCGUUACACUUCGGAAGCACACCUGUGAAGUGUGAAGCCAGUCACACUUCCUGCUGUCAGCGUGGGUGUGAUUCCAGGACAUCCCCACUGCACUGCUAGUGUGACCGCCAGGAACAGGCAGGAGUCUCAGUUCUCUCCCCUGUGAAACGGGUCAGUACCAGCACUUACCACUAGGAUUGCUGAGGAUGAAGUGAGAGGGCCAGCUGAGACCACUUUUGCAGCCUGGCACCUGAGUCCAGAGUUGGUGUCGGCUGGCGUCAGUCUGCGCCCUUCAACAGUCUGCGUGGCACCCUGACCCCCACGGGGCUCUUCUCUGCCUCUGACCCCUGCCCUCUCAGCUGACACCUGCUCAGACGGCUCUCAUCGGUCACAACCUCCUCCGCCCCAGCUUUGAAAUGCCGGGCUGCUGGAGCCCGCCUCCUCCAUCGAUGUGGACACAGACUGGUUCUGGCUUCUUCCUCUGGCUGAUGCCUCCUCUGCCACCAGAGAACACUGCUGCAGCCCCAUUCCUCUCCCGUCCACGGGGGUCUUUCUGGAUUCAUCUCCUGUGACAGCCUUUCCUACGUAAGGACCCAGUAGGUGCCGGACACUCACAGGGCCCAGGGGCCACACGUGCCCCCCCCGCCCUCCCCUCACUAAUAGCAGACACUCAAACAGCAGGGAGGCCUGGGAAACGCUGGGCCACUCACAGCGAGAAGCCUGGUCCUCACCCGCAUCACUGAGAAUAAAAUAAAGCAGCAGAACGAUGCCCAGGCAGCGUCUGGCACACCGUGAGUGGUCAGUCACCAUUCGUCACUUUGAUUUCCUGGAGUCUAAUCGCUAAGACUGUGUUUUUCUCUGGUUUCACCCAGUCAGACCCAGCUGGAGCCGGCCCUACUGGGACCCCUUCCCGGACAGUGACUCGGCCAGGUAUCCCAGGAGGCCAGAGGAGAGGAGACCUCUCAUCAUACCGAGAGGAAAACUGGCCCCAGCAAGGAAUAGCGCCUUGCCUGGGGUCACACAGACAGCAGGGGACACAGGUGGGCAGGACUUGAACCCAGGCAUCCUGGCAGCCUUUGCUCCCCAGUAGGCAGGGCUGCUCUGUGCCCUGAGCCAGGGCCUGGCCAGCCAGGCAGCUGCUGUUGAUGGUAAUAGCGGUGAUAGCUGGUGUUUGUUUAGCUGGAGCCACUCAUCAAAGGGGUUAAUGUUCAACUCUCUCCAGCCCCUGGGGCUGUGUGCAGGGGGAGGGUGAGACCUGCCCCUCUCCCCCAUUCCUGAGGCCCACAGCCUGCCUUCCCUGGGCGGUGGCGGCCUCUCCCUCUCCGGGGUCUGUGGGAAUGCUGAGGGCUGGCAGGGGACUCCUCCUCACUGCGGACUCCACCGCACUGGGCUGGGCCAGGUGCUGGGGACCCUGGGAGCACCUGCUGGGUUGUGGUUUGAAGUCUGGGGGUUGGGCCUGGUCAGUGGCCCUGAGCUCACUUGGACUGGGAAGGGGCUCAGCUUGCCUGUCUUUCUGUGGGACCUUCUCUGUGCCCACCCCGGACUGAGCAGAUCCCCUCAACCGGGCUUCUCUCAGCUCAGCCCCAACUCCUCCCACCCCAUGCGGGUCCCUGGGCUGAGAAAUGGCCUUCCUCCUGGAGAGGGACGCCCCGGGGGCACUCAGCCUCCCUCCUCUCUGGGUCGGCGGGCAGGGUGCAGUUCACCUGGAAAAGCCAAAAACCUUGGGCUGCCAGUGGCCAAGGAAGUCCCGGGCCAGCCUCUCUUCCUCCCUCCCAGCGACGCUGGGAGCAAAGGGGCUGUGCCCAGUUUGUGCCCGUGGGCCACGGCAUCCCACCCAGCAGAGAAAGGGCUGGAAGCAGGACUGGAAGCUUCCUGUGAGGCCUGUGGGCUGAGCCUGGGGUCCGGGACGGGGAUGGCUGAGGUCCAAGGGGGCCUUGGGCGGGGGGCAGCGGCCUCUCUCCCGCCCGCCUGCCGUGCCACAGCCUCUAUGCCCAGGGAGCACCGCGGACUGGCAGCAGCUCGCGGUCCUGCAGCCCGCCCCCUGGCCCACCUCCGGAGGUCCCCGUCCUGCCCCAACACCCCCACAAGCACAGUGCUCAGCCUCAUGCAGCUGCAAGGAACCUUCCAGAUCCACCUCUGGUCAGCCAAGACACAUGGAGAGGGAAACUGAGGCACCGGGUGUGGUGGGCAGGGACAGAGUGGGUCUAACCUUUCCUCAUGGGUGAGAAGGGAAAGUGUGUUUUGAAGAGUGAGCGGAACUGGACGCCCUGGGCUGUCCCUGAGACAAGGCUUUGGAGGGGGCGAGGCUGUGGGGUGCCCAGUGGGGGCUGAGGGCUCUGGGGGCAGCUGUGCCCACCUGCCAGCCUGCCUGAGCUGAAAGGCCACCACAUUGAAAGGCUGCCCCCUCUGGGACUCAGUGCCCUGUGGACUGGGCACAGUGGGGACGAAGUGAGGUGGCCAGGCUAGCCAGGGCAUGAUCGGCCCCUCCCCGCCCCGUGCCAGGUGGCAUUCCAGGCACUGGGUCAGAUAAAAGGGCUGCGGCCAGGGUGGCAGUGUGCUGUCACCACACAGCUUCCAAAGGCCUGUCCAAGGUGGGUCGACCGUACGCGGGCUGGUGUGGCUCGUGGACUGAGCGCCAGCCUGUGAACCCAAAGGUCACUGGUUUGGUUCCUGGUCAGACUACAUGCCUGGGCCGCAGGCCAGGUCCCAGCUGCGGGUGUACAACCGAUCAAUGGAUGUCUCCCUCUCUUUAUCCCUCCCUUCCCCACUUUCUAAA